rnacentral:rRNA from 1 species
GCACAAGCGGUGGAUGAUGUGGAUUAAUUCGAUGCAACGCGAAAACCUUACCUACCCUUGACAUGUCCGGAAUCCCGAAGAGAUUUGGGAGUGCUCGCAAGAGAACCGGAACACAGGUGCUGCAUGGCUGUCGUCAGCUCGUGUCGUGAGAUGUUGGGUUAAGUCCCGCAACGAGCGCAACCCUUGUCAUUAGUUGCCAUCAUUUGGUUGGGCACUCUAAUGAGACUGCCGGUGACAAACCGGAGGAAGGUGGGGAUGACGUCAAGUCCUCAUGGCCCUUAUGGGUAGGGCUUCACACGUCAUACAAUGGUCGGUACAGAGGGUUGCCAACCCGCGAGGGGGAGCUAAUCCCACAAAGCCGAUCGUAGUCCGGAUCGCAGUCUGCAACUCGACUGCGUGAAGUCGGAAUCGCUAGUAAUCGUGGAUCAGAAUGUCACGGUGAAUACGUUCCCGGGUCUU